CCUACGGGGGGCAGCAGUAGGGAAUAUUGCUCAAUGGGGGAAACCCUGAAGCAGCGACGCCGCGUGGAGGAUGAAGGUUUUCGGAGUGUAAACCACUUUUGGCAGAGAAGAAAAUGACGGUACCUAACUAAUAAGCCCAGGCUAACUCCGUGCCAGCAGCCGCGGUAAUGCGUCGGGGACAAGCGUGAAUCGGAAUUACUGGGUGUAAAGGGCGCGUAGGCGGGUAAGCAAGUCAGAGGUGAAAGCCUAUGGCUUAACCAUAGAACUGCAUUUGAAACUGUGCUUCUAGAGUGUGGGAGAGGUAGGUGGAAUUCUUGGUGUAGGGGUGAAAUCCGUAGAGAUCAAGAGGAAUACUCAUUGCGAAGGCGGCCUGCUAGAACAUAACUGACGCUGAUGCGCGAAAGCGUGGGGAGCAAACAGGAUUAGAUACCCUAGUAGUC
rnacentral:rRNA from 1 species